UACAGAGGUCACGAGCGUUGUACGGAUUUACUGGGCGUAAAGGGUGCGUAGGAGGCCGCGCAAGUCAGGCGUGAAAGCCCGGGGCUCAACCCCGGAACGGCGUUUGAAACUGCGCGGCUGGAGGGCCGGAGAGGCUGCCGGAAUUCCCGGUGUAGCAGUGAAAUGCGUAGAGAUCGGGAGGAACACCAAAGGCGAAGGUAGGCAGAUGGAAGGCACCUGACUCUGAGGCACGAAAGCCAGGGGAGCAAACGGG
rnacentral:rRNA from 1 species